rnacentral:rRNA from 1 species
CGUAGGCAGCAAGCGUUGUUCGGAGUUACUGGGCGUAAAGAGUGCGUAGGCGGUCUUUUAAGUUUGGUGUGAAAUCUCCCGGCUCAACUGGGAGGGUGCGCCGAAAACUGGAAGGCUUGAGGAUGGGAGAGGCAUGCGGAAUUCCUGGUGUAGCGGUGAAAUGCGUAGAUAUCAGGAGGAACACCUGCGGUGUAGACAGCAUGCUGGACCAUUUCUGACGCUGAGGCACGAAAGCGUGGGUAGCAAACAGGAUUAGAUACCCUGGUAGUCCACGCCCUAAACGAUGCAUACUUGGUGUGAGCCAUUCAUUUGGUUCGUGCCGGAGCUAACGCGUUAAGUAUGCCGCCUGGGGAGUACGGUCGCAAGGCUG